UACGUAGGGUGCGAGCGUUGUCCGGAAUUAUUGGGCGUAAAGAGCUCGUAGGCGGUCUGUUGCGUCGGCUGUGAAAACCCGGGGCUCAACCCCGGGCCUGCAGCCGAUACGGGCAGACUAGAGUUCGGCAGGGGAGACUGGAAUUCCUGGUGUAGCGGUGAAAUGCGCAGAUAUCAGGAGGAACACCGGUGGCGAAGGCGGGUCUCUGGGCCGAUACUGACGCUGAGGCGCGACAGCGUGGGGAGCAAACAGG
rnacentral:rRNA from 1 species